rnacentral:lncRNA from 1 species
GUCGACCUAAUGAUCAAGAAGUUCCAACCCAUGGGCAUUGAUGUCAAGGAGAUGGUUGUGUUGACUGGUGGUGGACACACCAUUGGCUUUGCUCAUUGCAAAGAGUUUGCAAAUAGGAUUUUCCCUAAUGCUGAUCCAACAAUGAACCCAAUAUUAGUUGAAAGAUUAAGAAAAAUGUGUGCAAAUUACACUACCAACAAGGACAUGGCAGCCUUCUUAGAUGUCAUUAGUCCCGGUAAUUUUGACAAUGUAAUUUUCAAGAACAUAAUGAAGGGGAUAAGUGUACUAGGAUCAGACCAAAUAUUGUUCUCUGAUCCUCGAACAAAGCCAUUUGUAGAGCUAUAUGCCAAAGAUCCAGUUGCUUUUGCUAAUGAUUU